GUCGAGCGGAGUUGAUGAGGUGCUUGCACCUCUGAUGCUUAGCGGCGGACGGGUGAGUAACACGUAGGCAACCUGCCCUCAAGACUGGGAUAACUACCGGAAACGGUAGCUAAUACCGGAUAAUCGAUCUGGCUGCAUGGCCGGAUUAUAAAAGGCGGAACAAUCUGUCACUUGGGGAUGGGCCUGCGGCGCAUUAGCUAGUUGGUGAGGUAACGGCUCACCAAGGCGACGAUGCGUAGCCGACCUGAGAGGGUGAACGGCCACACUGGGACUGAGACACGGCCCAGACUCCUACGGGAGGCAGCAGUAGGGAAUCUUCCGCAAUGGACGAAAGUCUGACGGAGCAACGCCGCGUGAGUGAUGAAGGUUUUCGGAUCGUAAAGCUCUGUUGCCAAGGAAGAACGUCUUCUAGAGUAACUGCUAGAAGAGUGACGGUACUUGAGAAGAAAGCCCCGGCUAACUACGUGCCAGCAGCCGCGGUAAUACGUAGGGGGCAAGCGUUGUCCGGAAUUAUUGGGCGUAAAGCGCGCGCAGGCGGUUCUUUAAGUCUGGUGUUUAAACCAUGGGCUCAACUUGUGGUCGCACUGGAAACUGGGGGACUUGAGUGCAGAAGAGGAGAGUGGAAUUCCACGUGUAGCGGUGAAAUGCGUAGAUAUGUGGAGGAACACCAGUGGCGAAGGCGACUCUCUGGGCUGUAACUGACGCUGAGGCGCGAAAGCGUGGGGAGC
rnacentral:rRNA from 1 species